ACUUGCGUGUCCUGCAGACACUGGACCUCAACGGAUGCGGAACAGCAGAUCAUCCCCUCGCGGCUUCUUGCAGAGACUUGAUAAACAGCAGCAUCGCUCUGGGUGCAGCUAGAAAGAGGACAGACAGGAAGAAGACAGGGAAGAGAGGAAGGCUCGCAGUGCACAGAGCAAACUCACCUUAGUGGUGCGCGUCUAUGGUCCACCUACUGGCAAGCCCAAGGCGAGAGGAUGGGAAGUUCCAGGUCAGCUGAUGAUGCAAGGUGAGAAAACUGGGCAGGAGUUAGAGGCAGAUCCCAAAUUGAGCUUUGGAUCCCGUCCUUUCUUCUUGAAGACUUCCUCGGCGCCGUACAGAUCAGGAAACUCUCAGGCACAUUCUCCCUGCGUAUGCUAAUAUCUAUGCAUAAGUGUGCACAGGGCUGUUCAAAACCUGUUAUGAAUACUAACUCCACUCUACUAAAAAUGCCCCCAAAUUCUGAUCCCGUGUUUGAUAAACACUUGAAAAGGACAGUAUUACUUUGAGACUUAAAAUGUAUUUAAAUCCUGACUUCCAGUAUCUGCAGCUGCUUAUUGGCCAUCAGCAGGUUUUAAUAUAAGAUGUAUUGAAUGGCUGCUACAGAAGGUUGCUCAGAUUCUUGGUUAAGUGCAGAACCCUAGAGCACAUAACUCUCGCUCGUUCCCCUUACCUGGCCUGCUGGUCUAAUCAGACUACAUGCCUUUAGAGCACUGUUCCGGCUUGACUGAAAGAAGGCUACCUUUGCACGAGGAGGAAGUUGUGGAAAGGGGAUAAUCUGAGCAGAAGCAGGUGAA